rnacentral:rRNA from 1 species
UGCAAGUCGAGCGAAGCGCUUAAGUUUGAUUCUUCGGAUGAAGACUUUUGUGACUGAGCGGCGGACGGGUGAGUAACGCGUGGGUAACCUGCCUCAUACAGGGGGAUAACAGUUAGAAAUGACUGCUAAUACCGCAUAAGACCACGGUACCGCAUGGUACAGUGGUAAAAACUCCGGUGGUAUGAGAUGGACCCGCGUCUGAUUAGGUAGUUGGUGGGGUAACGGCCUACCAAGCCGACGAUCAGUAGCCGACCUGAGAGGGUGACCGGCCACAUUG